rnacentral:rRNA from 1 species
CCUACGGGAGGCAGCAGUCGGGAAUAUUGGGCAAAGGAGGAAACUCUGACCCAGCAAUACCGCGUGAAGGAUGAAGGUUUUCGGAUUGUAAACUUCUGUUGUCAAGGAAGAGAAAAAUGACGGUCCUUUAUCAGUAAGCCCCGGCCACCUAUGUGCCAGCAGCCGCGGUGCUACAUAGGGGGCAAGCGUUGUCCGGAAUGACUGGGUGUAAAGGGUGUGUAGGUGGCUUAGUAAGUUAGAGGUGAAAGCCCGAAGCUCAACUUCGGAACUGCCUUUAAAACUGGUGGGCUUGAGUGUGGGAGAGGCUAGUGGAACUCCUAGUGUAGCGGUGGAAUGCGUAGAUAUUAGGAAGAACACCAGAGGCGAAGGCGACUAACUGGAACAUUACUGACACUGAAACACGAAAGCGUGGGGAGCAAACAGGAUUAGAUACCCCUGUAGUC